GAGUUUGAUCGUGGCUCAGAUUGAACGCUGGCGGCAGGCCUAACACAUGCAAGUCGAGCGGAUGACGGGAGCUUGCUCCUGGUGGCGAGUGGCGAACGGGUGAGUAAUGCAUCGGAACGUAUCCUGGAGUGGGGGAUAACGUAGCGAAAGUUACGCUAAUACCGCAUAUUCUGUGAGCAGGAAAGCGGGGGGACCUUGGGCCCUGCGCUCUUGGAGCGCCGAUGUCGGAUUAGCUAGUGGUGAGGUAAAGGCUCACCAAGGCGACGAGUCCGUAGCAGGUCUGAGAGGAUGAUCUGCCACACUGGAA
rnacentral:rRNA from 1 species